UUGUGAUUGUAUUUCUGGGAACAUAUCUUGGCAGGAGUUUCACCCUUGCCACCCAGGCUGGAGUGCAAUGGCACCAUCUCGACUCACUGCAACCUCCGCCUCCCAGGUUCAAGUGAUUCUCCUGCCUCAGCCUCCCGAAGUAGCUGGGAUUACAGGCGCCCACCACCAUUUUCUUAUUAAGAUCUUUUACUUCUAUUUAGGAAGAAAUAGUAUAAGUUUAUGGAUAUAUUUCUACCAAUUUUUAAAUAAUAACCAACUACAGUGACUUCUAUAACAGUUGUGACUUCUGUCAGGGAUCUAAUAUCAAGUAUGUGCCAUCAGAUAUUAUUAUUAUUUGGAUCUUUAUGCAUCUGGCAGUUUUCUGACUUUUCACUACAACCAUGCUUACCAUGAUUAAGUGAUGAAUAAUGAUCUAAUUAAUCAUAGUGUCAUGUUUUACACUUCUUUACCUUUUAUAAGCACUUUUUAAACUUACUGUGGUAAAAUAUACAUAGGAUAAAAUUUAUCUUUUUAACUAUUUUCAAUUGUACAAUUCCAUGGCAUUCACAUAGGCAUAUUGUUAUGCAACCAUUACCACCAUCCAUAUCCAGAACUUUUUCACUUUUCCAGACUGAAACUCUGUACCCAUUAGACAUUAACUCCUUAUUCCCUCGUCUCUCAUCCCCUGAAAACACCAUACUACUUUCUCUUUCUGUCAGUUUGACUACUCUAGGUAUCUCAUAUAAAUGGAAUCAUACAAUAUUUGUCCUUUUGUGUCUGGCUCAUUUAACAUAGUGUCUUCAGCCUUCAUCUAUGUUGUAGCAUAUAUCAGAAUUUCAUUCUUUUUUUAAAUAAAAAAGGAUUUAGAUCA